AUUGAACGCUGGCGGCAGGCCUAACACAUGCAAGUCGAACGGAGUGGCGGACGGGUGAGUAAUGUCUGGGAAACUGCCUGCUGGAGGGGGAUAACUACUGGAAACGGUAGCUAAUACCGCAUACUAUCAGAUGAGACUAGGUCGGCGUAGCUAGUUGGUGGGGUAAAGGCCUAACAAGGCGACGAUCCGUAACUGGUCUGAGAGGAUGAACAGUCACACUGGAACUGAGACACGGUCCAGACUCCUACGGUAGGCAGCAGUGGGGAAUAUUGGACAAUGGGCGAAAGCCUGAUCCAGCCAUGCCGCGUGUGUGAAGAAGGUCUUCGGAUGGUAAAGCACUUUAAGUUGGGAGGCGUUACCAACAGAAUAAGCACCGGCUAACUUCGUGCCAGCAGCCGCGGUAAUAC
rnacentral:rRNA from 1 species